ACUUGCGAAAGUGAGCGAAUCCCAAAAAGUGCGUCGUAGUCCGGAUUGGAGUCUGCAACUCGACUCCAUGAAGUCGGAAUCGCUAGUAAUCGUGGAUCAGAAUGCCACGGUGAAUACGUUCCCGGGCCUUGUACACACCGCCCGUCACACCAUGGGAGUGGGCUGCAAAAGAAGUGGGUAGUUUAACCUUCGGGAGGACGCUCUUCACUUAGUGGUUCAUGACUGGGGUGAAGUCGUUACAAGGUAACCG
rnacentral:rRNA from 1 species